GGGCAUGCAUCAGCUUCAGCCCUUAUCUCCUAGUCUGGAGCCUGGUCCAAGACUCCACCUGCAGACCCGCUAGGUUAUGACACUCUUGUCAAAAGGGGUGACCACAGGUGUCUCGGGUGUGAAGGCAUCUGCCACUCGAGAUCAUUCUGAAAAACUAAACUAAUUAAAUUGUAAUCACCGCCCUACAGGGAAACUCUCCCAGAGACGAGCCAUGGACAGUGCUUUACAGUUCUGGAGGAUUCUAUUUGAACAGGUCUGAUCGGCUGAUCCCAUCACCACCUGAACUGUGCAGAGAGCUGGGCCACUCACCGAAGUCUCCAUGCAAAGGCAGAGGGGCUGGGCAGAGGGUGGUUCUGAGAACUUUCGGAUACAUGGGAGCUCCCGAUCCAGCGCCUCAUAUUCCGAGAUGACCUGCCGCAGGAGCUGUCACAGGUCGCAGGACCAGGGAGUACUCACGAGGAUUUGGCAGGCUUGCCCAGGCUCCGAGACAUGGACUCCUCCAU